rnacentral:misc_RNA from 1 species
GUAUUGUAUUGCGUUAAACGCGGUGCGCAUUCCAUAAGACUUUGUUACAGUGUGUGUGUAAAAACAUAGGACCACAGCAAGGGGACAGUGUCCCCCAGGCCAUAGAACUACAGAGGGUGCACAGGUGUGAGUGGAUGUGUAAACAGAGCGUGCACGUGCCCCCCUUCGAGGGCCAGCAACAACUCGUGUCGACAAUUCGGUAAUGAUCCUUCCGCAGGUUCACCUACGGAAA